rnacentral:lncRNA from 1 species
UUUGGGUUGUUAUUUGACUUUCAACGUUAAGAAGAUAUGAGUUUCAUGUAAAAUUGAUCAAUGGUAUGUUGGUUGAUGUAGAUCUCAUGUCAAAUCCUUGAAUUGUGAAUUAAUUGUUGUAGUCAUGAUGCAUUAACAUAUUGCUCAUUUCCAUGUACAAGGUUAUGCCUCCUAAGUGUUUGACAAAAUGUCUAAGUGAAUGAAUUGUG